GGAAGAUGAGGUUAUGGACAACCAAGGUAUGGGAGGAAGGACGAUGAUGAGGAUGAGGACAAGCCUAAGAGGUAUGGGAGGAAGGACGAUGAUGAGGAUGAGGACAAGCCUAAGAGGUAUGGGUAUGGCGAAGAGGAGGAGGGCUAUGGCCGCAAGAAAUAUGGAGAUGACGACUCUGGUGAUGAUGAGGAUGAGGAAAAGAAGCAUUACCGCUCCAAGCAUCACCACCACCACAAGCACCAUGACGAUGACGAGUGAUCUAAUCCUUGGUCGCCUCUUGAUGGGAACCCAUGCUAUAUUAAGCUACUAAAUAAAGGGUUUCCAGGAUGCUGUGCGUGUCGUUUGUUGCUUCUGUCAUCUGCUUGAGUUCGUGACAUACAUCUGUGUUGUGUCUUGCGCUUGUCCUUCGAAUAAAUGCCCAAACAUUUCGGGUACUUGAGGUUUUAUGAUAUGAUAUGGUAUGAUAUGAUAUGAUCGUGACUUCAUGUCCCUCAGACAUAACGCAGGCUUGUUCUGAUGUUUUA